rnacentral:rRNA from 1 species
UUGGAGGGCAAGUCUGGUGCCAGCAGCCGCGGUAAUUCCAGCUCCAAUAGCGUAUAUUAAAGUUGUUGCAGUUAAAAAGCUCGUAGUUGAAUUUCGGGAUCGACGGGUCGGUCGCGCCUCUGGUGUGUACUGGCCCUGUCGGUUUCUCCCUUCUGACGAACCACGAUGUCAUUAAUUUGGUGUCGUGGGGAAUCAGGACUGUUACUUUGAAAAAAUUAGAGUGUUUAAAGCAAGCAUUCGCUUGAAUACAUUAGCAUGGAAUAAUGAAAUAGGACGUUUGAUCUUAUUUUGUUGGUUUCUAAGAUCGACGUAAUGAUUAAUAGGGAUAGUUGGGGGCAUUAGUAUUCAAUUGUCAGAGGUGAAAUUCUUGGAUUUAUUGAAGACUAACUACUGCGAAAGCAUUUGCCAAGGAUGUUUUCAUUAAUCAAGAACGAAAGUUAGGGGAUCGAAGACGAUCAGAUACCGUCGUAGUCUUAACCAUAAACUAUGCCGACUAGGAAUCAGACGAUGUUAAUUUUUUAAUGACUCGUUUGGCACCUUACGGGAAAC